UACGAAGGGGGCUAGCGUUGCUCGGAAUCACUGGGCGUAAAGGGUGCGUAGGCGGGUCUUUAAGUCAGGGGUGAAAUCCUGGAGCUCAACUCCAGAACUGCCUUUGAUACUGAGGAUCUUGAGUUCGGGAGAGGUGAGUGGAACUGCGAGUGUAGAGGUGAAAUUCGUAGAUAUUCGCAAGAACACCAGUGGCGAAGGCGGCUACCUGGACCGGUUCUGACGCUGAUGCGCGAAAGCGUGGGUAGCAAACAGG
rnacentral:rRNA from 1 species